rnacentral:piRNA from 1 species
GAAAAUGGCCUUUGUCAUUUAAGGUAC